UCGGAAACGUCCUCCUCCCCUCCCCAUAUCAAAAGGCAGUUCCCUUCCUCCACUUGUACGAAGGAUCCAUUCUCCAGCAGAUUAAUCAUGGCCUUUCCUCCCUCCCGAGUAUCAUAGCUCGCCCAACUGAUUCCACCAUUGUUGUUGAGGGGCACAAGAGGCAUCUUGUUCAGCAACUGGGACGGCAAGGUGGCAAGCAGAUCAACUCCCACACCCGAUUCAUAGAAGCAGAAGAAUUUUGGAGAGUCUUCAGAUAGAUUGGGUUGCUUAUAACAACUGCUGGCGAGUCAGGUGCGGAUGCGCUAAGUAUUUCAAUCCAGUUUUCUACCAUUACUACCUUGAAGAUAUGUCAAGGACAAGAAUUAACGUUGUUGAAUCCAAUGAAGAGUAUAUGAUGGAAGAACCAAUUGAACAUCAUAAUUUUGGUGAAAAAGAUCUCGAAUCAUCCGAUGUCCAUGAAAGAACUACUAAUGGUGAAGAAGGCUUCACCGAUUGUGAUGAUGCUGAUGCGGAUGAAAAUGAAGACGCUGAAAAUGCAGAAACAAAAGAGCGUAAGAAGAGGAAGCUCAAAUAUAUUUGGAACCUUCCAAAAGGAAAAAGGAUAAUGGUUCGCUGCAAUGACAUAGACCAGCCAAUUGGAAAAGAGGCUAAACACCUUGGGGACUUUCUUGGCUCAGUUGCAAGGAAUGGAUCAUUGUGCUGUUUGAGCUACAAGGAUUGGAGAUUGCUCAAAACUAAAACAAAUUUAAAGGCUAUACUAGAUCAAGUGAAGACAAUUGGAGACAGAUGGAGGCAACAUAAGUCCGAUCUGAAAGCAAUGUAUUUUGAUGAGAAAAAUAGCACCGAAGCCAAUUACAACAAUAAACCAAAAUCGGUGACUCCGGACUAGUGGAGAUCUCUAGUUAAUCAUUGGACAACCGAGAAAGCGAAGGGGCUUAGUGCUAUAAAUAGAAACAAUUGUUCAAUGAGGAAGUCUACACAUACUAGUGGGACAAAAAGUUUCCCUCGGCAGAGGGAAGAAAUGAAAGAUGCAGAUCCUGAAAAGAAGUACCCUCAUAGGGCUCACCUGUUCAUCCAUACGCACAAGCCGAAAACUUGCAAGAACAAAAUCAUUAAUGCUCAUGUGGAGGAGUUAAAGGAUAUUAUGGAUAAGAACCCUGAAUUAGCAAAUAAUAGCGAUGGAAAGACUGCAUGGAAAGGAGAUGCGUUGAACAAAGUAUUAGGGGAUGACAAGCCUGGCCAUGUACAUGGUUUGGGACUAGUUCCAAACCCCAAAGAACUUUUUGAUGUUUCUACUUCAUGUCUAUUCCAGAAUACGCAUUUUACUUCGGUGGGAGAUACACAAAAUGAAGAUAUGCUAGCUUUUAGAGUUGAAAUGGAAAAAUUACAAGAAGUAAAUAAAAAUCAAGAUGCUAAAAUUAUGGAACUCGAGGAGAAGAUGAGAAGAAUGGAAAGACGACCAUAUCAGGAAAUUUCAGAUCCAAUGGCUACAAUUGGGAUCGAACCUUCGGUCAAUGGACACAACUCAGACAGAAAAAGAGUGCUUGCUCCUCCGGCUGAUGGAGCCCAACUUGUUAAAAAACCAUCUAAUUUACACAACAAGCCAAGUAUGUCAAACGAUUCAGAUUUACAAGUAUCAAACAAGAAUUCUGUUUCAGAUAAGAACAAAGAAACUAUGGUUCAUAAUGGUGGCAGUGCACGACAACUAGAAAAAUGUUUUGCUGGACACAAGAAUGUUGUGCGAAACCAAGAAGCUUUUGAUCAUAGUUACACUGCUCAGCAAGGGGAAACAAAUUCUGCUGCACAUAAGAAUGUUGUUCAGAUUAAAGAAACUUUGGUUCAAAAUGUCCGUACACAGCAGGGAGAAAAAACGUUUGCUGCAAACAAAGUGACUAAAAAACAACAAAAGGUGCUACUGCAAGUAGUAAGAGUGCUGAGAGUGGUUCAUUGAGCUGGUUGGGUGCCAGUGAAUUACCUGUAGGAACUAAAGUAUUCCUGAAGAGCCUGAUAAAACAUAAUAGGGACGUAGCUCUUGCUACAAUUAUGAGUUGUGAUCCUAAAUUUAAACUUGAUGGUGCUAAAAUUGGAAAUGAAUAUUGGGUGGUGCAUGUUGAUAUGGCACUUGUGAAAACUGAAAAUUUGGUACGGAGUCGCAAAGACUACAAUACUCUCGGUAAUGCAGAAAAAACAAAGAUUGCAUGGCCCUCAACCUUUAUUAAAAAGAUAAAUGGAUGACUAUAUGGAUGCGUGGCAAGUGUACUGCAUUGAUGAUGUUGAUGAUCUGUUUCAUGAUGCGGACGAUGAUAGAUUCUUUCAGAUUUAGUUAUGUUGUGUGGAUGACAUUCCUGUUGGAUGUUUUCCUCAAUUAAAUUUUAGUGAAGUUAUAGGGGUGUUAAUGGAUGCUUUCAGUUUAAGUUUCAUUUUCAAGAAAAUAGUUAGAUUAUGCAUCACAUUUGAUGAUGUUCCUCUUGUAAUAUCAUUGUAAUCCAACAAUUUUAUCUCAUAUAUAAUUUCUUCCUCUUAUCAAUA